AUACGGAGGGUGCAAGCGUUAUUCGGAAUCACUGGGCGUAAAGGACGCGUAGGCGGGUUGGCAAGUCAGAUGUGAAAUCCUACAGCUUAACUGUAGAACUGCAUUUGAAACUGCUAACCUAGAGUAUGGGAGGGGGAGAUGGAAUUUGUGGUGUAGGGGUAAAAUCCGUAGAUAUCACUAGGAAUACCGAAAGCGAAGGCGAUCUCCUGGAACAUAACUGACGCUAAGGCGUGAAAGCGUGGGGAGCAAACAGGAGUAGAUACCCUAGUAGUCC
rnacentral:rRNA from 1 species